rnacentral:rRNA from 1 species
UACGGGGGGGGCAAGCGUUGUUCGGAAUUACUGGGCGUAAAGGGCUCGUAGGCGGCCAACUAAGUCAGACGUGAAAUCCCUCGGCUUAACCGGGGAACUGCGUCUGAUACUGGAUGGCUCGAGAUUGGGAGAGGGAUGCGGAAUUCCAGGUGUAGCGGUGAAAUGCGUAGAUAUCUGGAGGAACACCGGUGGCGAAGGCGGCAUCCUGGACCAACACUGACGCUGAGGAGCGAAAGCUAGGGGAGCAAACGGG